GCCUUCGUAGUGUAACGGUAGCACACACGGCGCGUAUUCAAGAUGUCCAGGUUCGACUCCUGGGGACGGCA
rnacentral:tRNA from 1 species